GUUAGGAUGGCAAAGCCCGGCACAUGCAAAAGACCUAAAAUCUUUCUACAGAAGUUCAAAUCCUCUUCCUAAUA
rnacentral:tRNA from 1 species